AUAUAUGUAUAAUACAUUUUAUUUUGGUUAUGUUUCAAUUAUUUUUUUAUCACGUCUUCUCAUCUUUCAAUAAUUACAAAAUUAUUUAAUUAUUGUCUGUCGUGAAUAUUUUAAGUUGUAAUCACUCAGGAAACUUUAAUUUCACUUUUUAAAUUUAUAAUUAUACAUAAAACUGACGUAUAUUUGUGUGUAAUUACACAUGAUUGUUUACGACUUUGGUCUAUUGAUGACAUCCGUCACAAUUUUCAAAAAUAAAUAUCAAAAUAUUCAUUUUAUAAGGAUGGGGAAAGAAAUAUGAAAUUUUGACAUAUUAAUUAUUAAUUAUUGAAUUAAUUAUAAUCAAAUAAAUAAUUAUUUCAGCUUUAAUCAGGGAUCCAGAAUCUUUUAUUUAUUUAUAUACUAGUAUCACUAGUUUUAUUUCUUUAAAUUUCCCAUAGAAUUGAAUGAUCGUAAAAAUUAAUUUAUAGAUUUAUUGAAAAGAAAUCAGAGAAACACUGAAACUUCGUUUCGAUGCUGGGAUCAUGAAAAAUAAAAUAAAUAUGCAAAGCAAUGGUUUGAUAGCAGUAAUGAAACAAUAAAACACUUUUUACCACACUCGAUAAGAUGACAAUCGUGGCGAUGAC